UUGGCUCUGGCCGGGGGCGCUGCAAUGGGCUCAGCCUUCUAGGGGUGGCGGGUGAAGGCCUACACCUGCCCCAGGACGGCCAGGUCCACCAGCACCUGCAACAGACGGAGAACUGAAGGAGCAUCUUGAAGCUGUGGCUGUCUUGAAGGUGUCGCCGCUUGUCCUCACGAGCACCAUUUUGAUUCUCGUGCCCUGUGUGCAUGGGUGGCCAGCGUUGCUGGUAGGGCUCCUGCACGCUCAGAGUGGCCUUGGCCAGGAAGUCCGGGGUUUCCGCAGGCAGAGUGGAUGAACAAGAUGCCACAGACAUGUGAGAAAUGAAACUUUUGACAAGAUCUGUGAAAAGAAUGGUAUUUUAUUGUAUUAAGAUUCUCCAGAGGGACAGAACUGAUCGGAUAUAUGUGUAUAUGAAAGGGAGUUUAUUAGGGAGAAUUGGCUCACAUGAUCAUAAGGCA
rnacentral:lncRNA from 1 species